CCCUACUCAAGGACACAAUACCAUCAAUUUUUUUUCUUUCCUAGUAGCAUAGGUCUUUGAAAUAGCCUUCCCUUAACUGUUCUAUCUAGCCCCUGAGUUUAAACAUCUUUACUGAGAGGCUUGAUCCAUUCUUUAAAUUCUAAAUUGAACGCUAUGUCUUUUAAAUUAAUAGUCUUGUAGAACUUUAAUUCUUUUAACUUUUUAAAUUUGCAUAGAAAUAAUUUCUUUUAUUAACAGUUCCCUGACAACGCACCUGCUAGUCAUGAUCAGAAUUGAUUGUUAAGCAGUAUGAUUUAGAUGUAUCUAUGUAGAUGCAGGCAUGUACAGUACUUCCCAUUUUAAGUAUUUAUCAAGUAAUUAUAAUUUAAUUAUCGUUGAGUGAUCCGUUUUUACGCUGCCCUAUUUUGACGCCAUUUAUAUUUUGCCUCAUAAUUGAUAUAAGCGGCCGCUUACGUCAUUACUGUACUACGCUAUAGCAAAAGGGGAUUCCUCUGGUUGGUUAGAUAACAAUAUGUAGUAAGUAAGACACCCAAAGGUAAGAUUUAGCAUGUUAUACCUUAUUUAAGAGAUUUUUGUAUGAUUUCAGUAAUGCAAUUUUGACCAUCACUUUACUAUGUCAUGUUUUCCUUGAAAAAAUGGGUUGGAAAAUACCUCCCUGUCUGCUGACCUCAUUUCCUUAUUCUCAGGUCACGUGGCAGUAAAAUUACCCAAUAGUGUUGUUUUGGGCGCAUUUUUUCACGGUAAAGCAACUGUGAGGCUGUACAUGUUGUAGAUUUUUUACGGUUAUUAAUCGAUGAAUGAAUGUUAAUUGAAAAUUAAUUGGAUAUGUAAAUUAUCUUAUUUGGAUGGAAUGAAUUGCCAUAUUUUAAUUAGUUGCUCCACUAAAUGUAUUAUUUGUUUUUGCAGGUUCAACAAAGAAAGUAAAGGUGCUAUUUUCCAACCUAUAUUUUUCAACAGAGGAGGUCAAACAGUAACGGCAACCAUCCAAACCACUAAAAAAAUACAACAAUAGCAUUUACCACAUAUAAUAAUGCUUUAUUUAUGAAAGAAAUAAAGAAUAGAUAAACUAUUUGUCACUUGUUGAUACUUUGCAGGUCUAUGCUCUUGAUAUUGGUGAACAAAGUAAGUAAAAGUAUUAUGGUGUACAGUCUCCUGUAGUGUGUAAUUAAAUUAGCCAAUCAAUUGCAUCGUUUUAGGGCACUCUCAAUAAAAAUGGCCGCUCCAGGAUGAAGUGAAAGUAGGAUUGUUCAUGAAAAUGAAUAGCAGGAAAAAAGCUUAAAUUUACCCAUUUCAUAAAGACAUAAUCAAGUGUACAGGCCAAAAGUUCUAACAACAUUACAGUGGGCCCUUCCCUGAGCAAUGGUUGGUCGCAUAGGGUAGGACUUAUUUCAUACUGGUUAAUGGAAAAUGAAGAACGAGCAUUAAUUAGUUCUCAAUACCUGUUCCCGUGCGACUGAUUCCUUUCUUCAUAGAAGAAAUUUCCGGUGUUUCAUACGUUAUAAUUAUAGCUCUUGUAAAGCAGUCGGCUUGCGAGUUUCCAGUGUCUUCAAGUUAUACCAUUUGUGGACAAUUAAACAUUACCUUUGCAAUGCAGACUACAAUUUUGUAUAAAGGUCAAACGAGUGUAC